rnacentral:rRNA from 1 species
UACGAAGGGGGCUAGCGUUGCUCGGAAUCACUGGGCGUAAAGGGUGCGUAGGCGGGUCUUUAAGUCAGGGGUGAAUCCUGGAGCUCAACUCCAGAACUGCCUUGAUACUGAAGAUCUUGAGUUCGGGAGAGGUGAGUGGAACUGCGAGUGUAGAGGUGAAAUUCGUAGAUAUUCGCAAGAACACCAGUGGCGAAGGCGGCCUGCUGGGCAGUUGCUGACACUGAGGCGCGACAGCGUGGGAGCAACAGG